UUCUUACAGUAUGACGUAAACGGAAAUACACUGAAAAUUACUGAAGUGCAUUGAUGUUUGUCAAAUCAGGCUAAUAACUGGUUCACUUUAAAAAUCCAGGGCAAUAGUAAUUAUAUAAAUUUGAAACUUAUGUAUCGUGUGGAAAUUAUAACUUAAGAACGUUGACAAAGAGAUUUGUAUUUCAGGGUACCUUCCUUUUAUGAAAAAUGAUGUUUGGUGCUGAAUAAUCCAGUUUUUAUUUACGCAGUUUACAACAAUAUGAAAAAUUAUGUGACGGUAUUGUCUAAAAUAUUCCUUUUUGUCUGCUUUAUUAAUCAAGGUCUUCAAAACAAGAUCAUAUUUUCAAUUUAUGGUAAAAUUAAAGAAUUCAACAUAAACACGGGAAACGUAUCAGAAAUCUUAAUCGACCAACAGAGUUAUAUACAUUGUUUUGAUUAUGACUCUAACAACGAAUACAUAUAUUUUCCAAGAGCUGACAAAAACGAUAUAUUGAGAUUUCGUUAUCCAUCAGAACAAGUUUAUAUGACAGAAACAGUGACUCAGGCAAGAAGGCCAAUAGGUGUCGCUAUUGAUCCAGUAGGCAAUCAUGUAUAUUGGACAGAACGAAUGGCACCAGAAGAGCUUAAGCGAUGUAAUUUCGAUGGGUCAAAUAAUAUAUCAAUACUUCAAAAUGGUCAACUAUAUGCUCUUACGUUAGAUUAUCGGAACAGAUGGUUGUAUUACAGUAUAUAUCCUACAAAUAGUGCAAUAAGACGAUCAAGAUUAAAUGGAACAGAAAAUCAGACAGUAUUAGAUGUUUCUACAGAACAGGUCACUGGUUUGAGUAUAGAUUAUAAUGGUGAUAGACUGUUUUGGCUUGAAAGAAAGAGUGGUGAUGUGAAAUCUUCCAAUUUUAAUGGAACUAACGUUGUCAACAUUGUCAGCACAAACGCAAACGAAAACUUGGGAAUACACGUACAUAAUGGCGACAUAUACUGUGCAAAUGGCAAACGAAUUCUACUGGUCACAUUAUCACCCAGAACUAAAACAAAUGUCAUGUAUUCUGAUAUAGAGAUGAUUUACGGUGUACUAUUUUACAAGGAAAAGGGUAAGUGUAUACCUGAUACAAAAAGCAGAUACAUAUACGUAGUAAGUCAAGCGCACGUCCCAAGAGCAUAACAGUUAUUACGACCAAAGUCAAAACAAUAGGAAGUUUAACCGCAUAAACAACCAAGAGAUUCUUAAAUGUAGUGCAAAAUCUUGCUUCUACGAGUAAAAGGAGAAAUUGGAUAUACGCAAAUGAGACAACAACCAAACGGCAAAUUUAAUUGGGAUUAAAAUGGCCUCCAUAUUGAAAAAGUAUCUUUAUAAUAUGCCAGGCUCUGAAUUGUUUUGAUUCUUUAACAUUUUUGAAUGAAUUAAACAGAAACAGAAACAGAAUCAGUCUAAGAUCCUCUCUGAACACCACGUUAUAUGCGCUUUUUAUAUUUUGAUUACAUUCCAAAAUUAUCGCUAUUUCUGUUUUUGGAUAACAUAUUUACGGUAAGUAACUCAAUUAAUGUAAUAGAUGUAUUGCACCGUGCAUUUAAGUAACUUACAGGUAUUAAAUGACAAACAUUAUAUUAAUUUAUCAUGUUCUUUUUCAUUAUCAUUUUGUUACGGAAGAGCAACUUGUAAAAGACCGUUUUAUUUUUGUUUGUACAUGUAGUUUUGUAUUUAUUAUGAUUAUUAUGAUACAUUUUAAUGUUUAUUUGCAUCUUUUUCUUUUAUUUAUAUAUCAGUGUUACAAUAUGUUAUGUGAUUGCUAGUUGCUUGCUUUUCUUUGCAGAUGUUUUAUUUAUUUAUUAACACCAACCACUUGAUAAUUACAAACAUUUUCAACCAAAAUAUACACUAAACUCGUUAUUCAAUAUCUAUCAGAGUCCUUAAUACGAGGUAUUUCCUGGCAUUGCUAUUUUGUGAUGGUUAAUCUGUAGAAUUCACAUGAUAGUCACAUGAUAUUUAACAGCUUCAUAAUGUUGCAUAAUUUUAUAUACUGUCGUGUACAUGGUAUAGUUUGUAGAUUUAUAACAUGCAUUACUAUAUCGUUCUUUUUUAUCAUUUCUUUUACUGUUUUAUAGUUGUAACGAAAAUAUGUUACCUAUGUCUACCAAGAUAUUAAUUUUAAUCUUAGGCGUUACUUAUAUUAAAAAUUUGAUAUACUCAAGCUUGCUUGGUCUUUAAAUGUGAGUAUUUUUAAACAUUUAUAAAGUUACCAAUGACUGCAAAUAACGUUUACAUUUGUAUUCUAGUAUUUGAAUUUUAUAUGCAUAUAUACUCAGAUGUUGAAUUGUUCUCAGUUUCAAGUAUAAAUUAGGCUCUUAUCUGUUUCAUGCCGUGUUUUUCGGUAGUAUUACUAGCCAGCUGUUACUUUAAACGACAGUACAUAGUGGGUAAGAUUUUUUCUAAAAUAUUCAAGAUAUAUGGGCAUGUGUUUCUUUCAAUUAUUGUUAUAUUAGAAGAUUUAUUUAUAGCAUUACUUUACGAUAUGACUCAAAGAGCACAUGCACAACUGUAGGCAAGUUCCUUGAUGUAGAUCAAAAUUGCCACUGUUCAUUAAUAAAUAUAUUUGAAAUAUUUAGAUACUACAUACAAACAAAGUGAAUGCAUGUGAUAGUAUAUUAUAAACACACUCUGGAAAGCUCGACACUCAUCAGUAGACUGGCAAAAUCAUAGCAAAAAAAAAAAAAAAACGACUGACAACACCUCACAGAAUCGUCUUGUAUAUAUAUAGGGAUCCGGAAAGGUUAACAUAUCCUGCUUCAUAAGCUACCUCCGUAGCUUCAGCGCAUUUAAUAGAAAAGUCCUCUAAUAAACAAGAAACAAAACAACGGAUAAAACCCUAAUAUCAAUAGCAUGAUGCGUGUUAUAACAUUUGAUUGUGUUUAAGGUUUCGUUUAGAAUUUGUGAAAGUAUGAUAUAGUACUUCUGCAAUAAUUGUGUGGCCGUAGCUGAGUGGUAUCGGAAAUAAACUGCAGAACUGGAUAGUUAUCGGGGAGACAUUAUGCGUGUGGUAGCGAUUAAUAGUAAACAAGAUCAGGACGGAUGUCAAUUAAAAUUUUUAUAACACAACCUGAAGAAUAAUAUUUUAUCAGCCACCAUUUACUUUGACUUUAUGAUAUGUCAUCUUUGAAGCAGAACUUUUAUAAUACUAACGUAUAUUGCAUUUGCGUAUGUAGUGUGAUUGCAUGUCAAAUUUAAUUUUUUUGUUUAAAUAAACAGUAGUAAUUAUAUUUUAUUUUGUUAAUAAUAACAGAUAAAGUUCACACUUGUUAAAUUCUUCACCAAAACGUACUGCAAAAUUGCAUGCACAUUUUUGUUUCUAGUUGUUCUUAUUUGAAGACAAAAAUAGUCAUUUUAAUCAAACAGUAGGUGUGAUCAUACUAUUUUGCUCAUCUUCUGUAAACAUUUUAGAUUUGUUAAAGGUACACAUGGCAAAUAUGUCUACUAUGUUUCAUGUAGUUGCACAGAUACGCCGGUAUUUUUAACCCAUAACUGAUCGAUUAUGUGUUUAGUAAAGAUUGAUUCAACCAAUUGAUGUCACAAAAUUUAUUUUUCAGAAUAUUUUCAGGAAUUUAAUGCUUUUUAUGGUAAUUGUAUGUUAGAAAUUAUUUCAAAUUAACGAUUGUAUCUCCCUCAUGCAAAGCUCAGAUUCCUAACCCGGCUUUGGCUAUACUUUUUGGAUUAUAGCUCUUCAUCUUUUUAAUAAGCUUUGGAUUUUCAAAUAUUUUGGUGUCGGGCUUCACUGAAGGGACAUUUAUUGUCGAAAUUCGUACCUGGGGCAAAAAAAUUGGUAGGUUAAUGUUAUUAUGUUAAUAUUUUGAAACAUAAAAUGUAAUACUGUAUUAAGGGAAGACCAUUUGAUAUUCUGGGGGGGGGGGGGGGGGGGGGGGGGUAGGGUGGGGGUAGGGGCAGGAGGAUUUUAAAAAUUAAUUAUUCCGCCUUGAUAAUGACAAAAAUGAAUGAUUCGUUCUGUGGUAGUUUGAAAAAAAAAUCUGAGCUACUAUGUAUUGAAAAUUAAUAUCUCAACAGGUCUUUUAAACCAUUUUAUAAAUGCAUGUUUUAAAGUAUGAGAUGGCACCAGAUUCUACAAAAACUCUUCUUUAUUCAUAUUUUUUCGGAAAAAAACUUCUCAAAUAUUUAAUAAAAUAUAAACUACACCAUAAAUAAAUAUUAAUGUUUUUGAAAUGUCUGAACAUGGAUUUCAUUUCACUUACGGUAUAUUGUCUCACGAACAUUAACCUCACUUUUAUACCUUUUCACAUUUUAACCUGUAUUGUUUUAUUGUGUACGUAUGCAUUAUGUACAGUUUUAAAUUAAAUUGUAAAUAAUGUAUUUCAUCUCAUCGAAUUAUAUUAAAAUCAGUCGGGUCCAGGACCAAUCCAGUAUAUAUUUUUAUAAUCCUUUGUAAUAAUUCCAUUUUCUAUGUACAUGUAUCUAGAGUUAUAUAGAAUUGGUUUACUCAAUGUAUGAUGAUAAUUUUUUGUUAUGGAAUACUUUUUUCAGCAUUUAUUUUUGUACUAUUAAAGAAAUUCAUACGUGUUUGUAAUUUUAAUAGUGUGUGUAUUCUUAGAAAAGAAUCACAGAGCUGAGUCUGCGUUUCUUUUUAUUUAAAAGGUUUUUCGGUUAAUAUCGUAUGGACCUAGGCCUAGGUCAUGACCAUAUGUUUUCCUUUUUGUAAAAUUAAGAAUUGUUCGAAUUUGAUUUUUACGUAUGGGGAUACGACAUCUGUUUAUACAUUCGUUUUUUUCUUUCUUUCUUUAUAUUCCUUUGAUUAAAUAUUUUUCUGUUA